rnacentral:lncRNA from 1 species
CCAUCUCACCUACCUUGAUGACUACAGUGAUCUUAUAAGACAAGACUGUGAAGCCAAAUGAAGGGGAUUGGAUACUAUCUGAAACUCCUUCGUGCUGAUGGGGGAACAGGCUAUUCCACAAAGGGAGACACAAAGAGUUGGCAUAUGAGAAUUCAUUAUUUGAUGCAGCUUCAGAAAACUGAAUGUGAAAUACUGGAUGAAGCAGAGCCCUGAGGUUCCCACCUUUUUUUUCAUCAUCAGUAGCAGUAGAUUCCAGGCUACUAUAGGACACACAGAAUCCGGAGGUAACUCAGUGGGACCUGUCAGACUUCAAUACUUCCAUAAAUACAGCUCCAUGCACCUGCAUUGGUAAAUCUUG